AGCCGUUUAGUUUAUAGCAGAAUAAUUGAUUGUGGUUCUUUUGGAUUUUCGGCUA
rnacentral:tRNA from 1 species